AACCCCUUUACUGUUUGUAGGAGAUAUCUAAGGUACCAUUACCUCUGUACAAACCCAAACAUCCGCAAAUAAAAAUUUUCAGAGAGGAUUAAUUGGGGAAAAAACACCAAACGCAAUAACCAGUUACGAGUGUUUAGCUGUGUAAUGCUUUACAUGAGCGUCAAUAGACUUAGUGUGAAAUACAUCGGGAAGAUUGUCAAAUUGAUAAGAUGAAAUGCUGAUUUUGACUUCGGAUUACUCCGCUUACCUGAUCAAGAUACGGGUGGUGAUAUGGCUGCUGCUGUCCCACCCCUUUUACUAGAAAACAUGUUAUAAUGCUAAUCUAGCCUAACAGGAAAUGAGAAAUGGAGAUCAAAGGGAGAAAGGGGUCGUGAUGUUUAAUGGUGUGCAGUGACAUUCUGUUGCUUUUUACUUUACUGAUCAUGAGAAUGACUCUCCUCUUUCCUUGAUCAUUAACUAUGUUAUGAUGAUGCACACUUGCAUUUAAGAUUGCCCCGUGUAAAAAUGGGUGAUGAAAUCUAUCACAUUUUUGUAAGUAUGUGAUAUCACAAGGUUUUCUGUUUGCACACCGUUUUGAAAGAUGACCACUUUUAAAACAACUAAAACAAGGGCCAAUUCUUCUUAGUAAUUCCAUCAUUGUUUCUCCAUCCAGGGCAGGAAAACAUGUACAGUCUCCAAUGAAGUGAUUAUGUGUCUCAUGAUACCAGCAUUUUUCUUUAAAGUGGUAUCAUUUCGGUAGUGUCAUGUGUCACACCCUUCUGUUUGCCGGUAAGAAGUAUUGUAAUAACAGACAUAACAUAUGCAUUGUCAAGUUUCUCAUUUUUCUCCUAUAGUGAAUUUGACAUGGUAUGUAUCCUUCCCUUACAGGAAACACUGCCAGUUUAAUAGUAUCUGAGGUCGUGUAUUCAAUUGCGGUCUUCUUGUCCAAAAGAAAUCUUAAGAAUUCGGAGAAGUCUAUAGACUUUAGCUUCAGCUUCCGUAAGGUCCAGUUUCUCCUCUAAAUAGAUGGUAAUAGGGUAUGUAAGUCUCGUUUGGUUUCAUUUUCGGUUUUACUACUUCCGGGUACAACAACGUCUGGAAUAUAUACAGUCGUAAAAGCGAGUCAUCGCUAAUAUGUAACUUGGUGUAUUGUUUAGCAAUCGGCUGCAUACACGAUACUGGGAAAACUCUGUCAUGUAGCUUAUUUAGGCUCCUAGUCGAUGCUACAGUAAAGAAGCAGUGGAUGCAAAGAUGUAGGUACGUAAUAUUAUUAUAAUUUAACGAAUAAUCAUGUCAAAUUAACACACGUGUGUAUAAACUGACAGAAUAUGCUGGACGUGUUGUAUAGAUAAUUCAGAGGGGAAGUAAGCCUACAAAAGAUUUUGACAGACGAACUGAUAAAAAAUAAAAUAAAGAAAAAACAUUACUACAAUUUUAGAAAUUGAGAGGCUGAGGUGGGGGUAAGUUUUUCUUCGUUAUUGAUUUCAACAUUUAGUAACAGCUUGUACUACAUAAUUCCCUUCUGUCAGAAAAGGGGAAGGGACACUGAUUUAUUGUAUCAAUAUAGCUCAGAAAAAUAAUCUUGCUUAAUAAAGGGGAAAGGGUUGACAGGACACCCUUGAUACUACUUGCAUGUAUAUAGGCUCCUGCAUAAUUAAAAUUUGUAUUGUGUUUCAAGAGAACUGCUCUCUACAGCCCAGUAGCUAAGUACUUCGUUACUAGCUUGAAAAUACGGAUGUGUAUUUAAUUGCUGUUAUAAAAUUUAGAAAUCCAUUUCAAAAUUAAGGAUUAUCUCCCUCACGCAUAGCUCUUUUCCUUAGACGAAUUUGACUCCACUUUUUUUGGCACGCUGUUUUUGGCUAUAAUAGUUUUAAAACUUCAUUCUUAUUUCGGAUUUCAAACAUUUCGGUUGAGCAUCACUGUAGAGACAUUAUUUGUCGAAAUGCGCAUCUGGUGCAUCAAAAUUGGUACCGUAUAAGUUUUACAUUAUGAACCCUGAGUCGAGGCCUCUGCUGGUGGACUGUUAGUCCCCGGGGGUCUCUACAGCCCAGUAGCUAAGUACUUCGUUACUAGCUUGAAAAUACGGAUGUAUAUUUAAUUGCUGUUAUAAAAUUUAGAAAUUCAUUUUAAGAUUAAGGAUUGUCUCCCUCAUGCAUAGCUCUUAUCCUUAGACGAAUUUGACUCCAUUUUUCUUUUUUUUUUUUUUUUUUUUUGGCAAGCUGUUUUUGGCUAUAAUUGCUCUAAAACUUCAUUGUUAUUUCGAAUUUCAAACAUUUCGGUUGAGCAUCACUGAAAAGACAUUAUUUGUUGAAAUGCGCAUCUGGUGUAUCAAAAUUGGUACCGAUAAGUUUUACAUUGUAUAAUUAUGUAAAAGUGACACAUGGCCUUGAUAAGAAUGAUUGUAAAACUCAUAUUCUGUGCUGAUUUCAGAAACUACAACUUUGUUGUGUAGUGAGGCACUUUAAGUCAAUAAAAACAGCAACUUAUUGUAUAUUGAAUUUUUUCAUCGACACAAAGUUACGAAACCUGCUGGAGCAGAAGCAUCUGCUUCAAACGUACAUGUAGGAACCGAAGUUGAUACUGCUACCAGACAACAAUGAAGUACAUCUACAUGAUCACGAGUAUACAGCAUCAAGUCCUCAACAUUUGAAAAGCUUCCCUUGAAGACUUGGAUGCUGUAAACUUGCAGUGAGAAAUAUAUCUGCUUAAUCAAAGGAAACCAUCUAUGACAAUUGGGAACAUCAUAACUAAAAGACUCUGGAAAUGCAUGUUUUUACAGUUCAUUAAGGAAAAAUGCUCAAUGUACUUUCUAUACACUGCCUAGUUAUUGAUUUCACAGGGAUCAUGAACACUGUUGGGAGUCUCCAUUCAACUGAAAUACAAAAGUCAGAAGAAAUGAAGGUUGCAAUGGAUGCAACAGAAGUUACCUAAAAUGACAAAAUUGAUAUGAAUAGCCAGUCUUUCGCUUACAGUAAUUACAAGAGUCGCCACAAAGACAAGACUUUAAUGUGUAUAUCACCUAAUGCAGCUCAUUCCAAUAUGUGUGCUGGAUACAAAUCUGACUCGGCAAUUGUGAACCAUUGUGGCAUUUUAGAGAAGUUGCAAGUUGGUGAUAUAUUCCUGGCGGACAAAGGAUUUUGUAUACUUCCAAAUGACAUGACACUUAAUAUCCCACUCUUUCUUACAAAUAAAUCCCACUUCUCAAAAGAGGAUGCACAGCUUUGCUAUAAAAUUUUCAGAUGCAGAAUUGAUGUUUGAUGGGAAAAUGAGAGAAUGUUUUGUUUUAAAUCCUUAGCCAUAUCCUAUCAUAGUAUAGAUAUUAAUCUGACAAAAUAUUUCAGCUUUAUGUGGCCCAUGUGAUUUUGCAGGUUCCCCUUUUGAAGGAGAUUGCAGAAAAAUCUUACAAACUUAUUAGAUUAUAUGUGUGUGUGUGUGUGUGUGUGUGUGUGUGUGUGUGUGUGUGUGUGUGUGUGUGUGUCUUAAAUCUGCACAUACCUACCACAUUGAAUUUUUUAAGUUAAAGUAAUGAAUACCAUAUAUUCAAUAUUUGAUAUGAUUAUAAAGCCCUUUGGAACGUUUCCAUCAAAAUGAAAUAUUCUCGAGAGGGACGUUAAACAAUAUAGAAUCAAACAAUCGGCAAUAAAGCCUUUUGUCCUCAUUCUGAAGGUUUUCAAAUCUGCAUUAUUCAAAAAAGAAGUAAAAUCCAUUGUUUUCAGUAAAUACAUGUAAUUGAAUGAUUUUUGUAAAGCUGGACACUGUGUCUAUACAUAUUUUGGUUCAUCUAAAAUAAGAAAAACUUUGUCUAUAAUGUUUAAUCAAUAGUAUAUAUAUAAUUACAUAACUUUGAUAAAUGCACUACUGGUAGCAAAAUAAAGUAUAUGUACACGUGGUUAUGUGUGUAUGUGUUUUAGACUGCAAAACUACUUUAUUAUUAAAAUUAAACUCUAUCACACUUAAAA